AUGGCUCGCAAGAAGGUGACCCUGCAGUACAUCGCCAAGGACUCCGCCCGGCGCACUAGGUUCAGGAAUCGUCUCGGGAGCCUGAUGAAAAAGGCGACCGAGCUGGGCACCAUGUGCGAUGUCAAGACCUGCCUGGUGGUGUACGGCGAGAGCGAGGCGGAGCCUCAGGUGUUCCCUUCCCACGCCGAGGCGGUGGAUAUCCUGAAUGAAUUCAAGAGCAUGCCGGAGCUGGGGCAUUGCAAGAAGACGCUGGACCAGGAGGCAUUCCUCACCCAGCGCAUCACCAAGCUCCGGGACCAGGUCGACAAGGCUCGCCGCGAGUGCCAGGACAGCGAGAUCAGGUACCUCCUUUACAACAUCAUGCACGGCAACCACCCAGGCCUCGUUGACCUCAGCUCUGAGGAGCUCGCCCGCAUUGGCUGGAAGGUGGACGAGCUCCUCAAGAGCCUGGGCGAACGCAUGGCAAAAAACCAUGUCCAGGCGCCACCGCCAGCUCCAUGCGUCAGCAGCGACAACAUCGACAUGGGGUCUCUGCCGCUGUAUCUGGCGUCACCGCAGGAGGAGGAAGGCUGGCUUGACAUGGUGAGCUCCGGUGGGGACGUCGGCACCCAGGUCUGCGGUGGCAAUGCCAGCCACAACGGCGGUGAUAUGAUGUUGGAGACGCAAUUCUCCGAUCUGGGGUUCAGUUCGAGUCCUUUCCCUCCCAUGUAA
rnacentral:rRNA from 1 species